UGACAGCAAAGGAAAGGCGGAGAGCGGAGAAAGAAGCGUCUGCGCUGGCAAGCUCUCCCGGCAGCGCCGAGAGCCAGAGCUGCGGUGCUGCUGCGCCGAUGCUCCGUACGUUCGCAGUAACGGGUAGAGCGGAAGGCUCCGUGGCCAGGGAAGAGCGGCACGGACACGUUCCUGCUCGCUCCGUUGCACCGGAAUUUCGACGGCUGGGUUCGGCCGCUAAAUUGAUGGCGCUACCGGAAGAAAUUUCAGAAAAAUAUGAGAAAAGCUCUGUCCAGAGAUAUGGAGACGAAAUCAGUUGUACCUCACCCUGUGACACCGGAAGACAUUGAGUAACUCGUCCUGCAGCUGGCUCCUCGGUUUUGGCGGCAGCCUGCACAUAGCAGCCCAGCUCUCCAGCAGCCUGACGGACCGACCGUGUGUCUGUUCCACGCCGGACUGGCGAGCGUGGCUCCGGGUAGGACAGCCGAGGUGCCCCAGGGCCGGGCCCCGAGCCCCGGUGCGGAGUCUCUCCCGGAACCGGCUCUGUGUG